GUAUGAGGUGUUAGUGUGUGUGUGUGUUAUGGGGUGGUGUAUAGGGUGUUAGUGUGUGUGUAUUAUGGUGGUGGUGUAUGAGGUGUUAGUGUGUGUGUGUAUUAUGGGGGUGGUGUAUGAGGUGUUAGUGUGUGUGUGUGUUAUGGGGGUGGUGUAUGAGGUGUUAGUGUGUGUGUGUUAUGGUGGUGGUGUAUGAGGUGUUAGUGUGUGUGUAUUAUGGGGGUGGUGUAUGAGGUGUUAGUGUGUGUGUGUAUUAUGGUGGUGGUGUAUGAGGUGUUAGUGUGUGUGUGUUAUGGUGGUGGUGUAUGAGGUGUUAGUGUGUGUGUAUUAUGGUGGUGGUGUAUGAGGUGUUAGUGUGUGUGUAUUAUGGGGGUGGUGUAUGAGGUGUUAGUGUGUGUGUAUUAUGGUGGUGGUGUAUGAGGUGUUAGUGUGUGUGUGUAUUAUGGUGGUGGUGUAUGAGGUGUUAGUGUGUGUGUGUAUUAUGGUGGUGGUGUAUGAGGUGUUAGUGUGUGUGUGUAUUAUGGGGGUGGUGUAUGAGGUGUUAGUGUGUGUGUGUGUAUUAUGGUGGUGUAUGAGGUGUUAGUGUGUGUGUGUAUUAUGGGGUGGUGUAUGAGGUGUUAGUGUGUGUGUGUAUUAUGGUGGUGGUGUAUGAGGUGUUAGUGUGUGUAUUAUGGUGGUGGUGUAUGAGGUGUUAGUGUGUGUGUAUUAUGGGGUGGUGUAUGAGGUGUUAGUGUGUGUAUUAUGGUGGUGGUGUAUGAGGUGUUAGUGUGUGUGUGUGUGUAUUAUGGGGGUGGUGUAUGAGGUGUUAGUGUGUGUGUGUAUUAUGGGGUGGUGUAUGAGGUGUUAGUGUGUGUGUGUAUUAUGGGGGUGGUGUAUGAGGUGUUAGUGUGUGUGUGUGUGUAUUAUGGUGGUGGUGUAUGAGGUGUUAGUGUGUGUGUGUGUGUGUAUGAUGGGGGUGGUGUAUGAGGUGUUAGUGUGUGUGUAUUAUGGGGGUGGUGUAUGAGGUGUUAGUGUGUGUGUGUGUGUAUUAUGGGGGUGGUGUAUGAGGUGUUAGUGUGUGUGUGUGUGUAUUAUGGUGGUGGUGUAUGAGGUGUUAGUGUGUGUGUGUGUGUAUUAUGGGGGUGGUGUAUGAGGUGUUAGUGUGUGUGUGUAUUAUGGGGUGGUGUAUGAGGUGUUAGUGUGUGUGUGUAUUAUGGGGGUGGUGUAUGAGGUGUUAGUGUGUGUGUGUGUGUAUUAUGGUGGUGGUGUAUGAGGUGUUAGUGUGUGUGUGUGUGUAUUAUGGUGGUGGUGUAUGAGGUGUUAGUGUGUGUGUGUGUGUGUAUGAUGGGGGUGGUGUAUGAGGUGUUAGUGUGUGUGUAUUAUGGGGGUGGUGUAUGAGGUGUUAGUGUGUGUGUGUAUUAUGGUGGUGGUGUAUGAGGUGUUAGUGUGUGUGUGUAUUAUGGGGUGGUGUAUGAGGUGUUAGUGUGUGUGUGUAUUAUGGUGGUGGUGUAUGAGGUGUUAGUGUGUGUGUAUUAUGGGGUGGUGUAUGAGGUGUUAGUGUGUGUGUGUAUUAUGGGGGUGGUGUAUAGGGUGUUAGUGUGUGUGUAUUAUGGUGGUGGUGUAUGAGGUGUUAGUGUGUGUGUAUUAUGGGGGUGGUGUAUGAGGUGUUAGUGUGUGUGUGUAUUAUGGGGUGGUGUAUGAGGUGUUAGUGUGUGUGUAUUAUGGUGGUGGUGUAUGAGGUGUUUGUGUGUGUGUGUGUAUUAUGGUGGUGUAUGAGGUGUUAGUGUGUGUAUUAUUGUGGUGGUGUAUAGGGUGUUAGUGUGUGUGUAUUAUGGUGGUGGUGUAUGAGGUGUUAGUGUGUGUGUGUGUAUUAUGGUGGUGGUGUAUGAGGUGUUAGUGUGUGUGUGUGUAUUAUGGUGGUGUAUGAGGUGUUAGUGUGUGUGUGUAUUAUGGUGGUGGUGUAUGAGGUGUUAGUGUGUGUGUAUUAUGGGGGUGGUGUAUGAGGUGUUAGUGUGUGUAUUAUGGGGGUGGUGUAUAGGGUGUUAGUGUGUGUGUAUUAUGGUGGUGGUGUAUGAGGUGUUAGUGUGUGUGUAUUAUGGUGGUGGUGUAUGGGGUGUUAGUGUGUGUGUGUGUGUAUUAUGGUGGUGGUGUAUGAGGUGUUAGUGUGUGUGUAUUAUGGGGGUGGUGUAUGGGGUGUUAGUGUGUGUGUGUGUGUAUUAUGGUGGUGGUGUAUGAGGUGUUAGUGUGUGUAUUAUUGUGGUGGUGUAUGAGGUGUUAGUGUGUGUGUGUGUAUUAUGGGGGUGGUGUAUGAGGUGUUAGUGUGUGUGUGUGUUAUGGUGGUGGUGUAUGAGGUGUUAGUGUGUGUAUUAUUGUGGUGGUGUAUGAGGUGUUAGUGUGUGUGUGUAUUACGGGGGUGGUGUAUGAGGUGUUAGUGUGUGUGUGUGUGUAUUAUGGUGGUGGUGUAUGAGGUGUUAGUGUGUGUGUGUAUUAUGGUGGUGGUGUAUGAGGUGUUAGUGUGUGUGUAUUAUGGUGGUGGUGUAUAAGGUGUUAGUGUGUGUGUGUAUUAUGGGGGUGGUGUAUGAGGUGUUAGUGUGUGUGUGUAUUAUGGGGGUGGUGUAUGAGGUGUUAGUGUGUGUGUGUGUGUGUAUUAUGGUGGUGGUGUAUGAGGUGUUAGUGUGUGUAUUAUUGUGGUGGUGUAUGAGGUGUUAGUGUGUGUGUGUAUUAUGGUGGUGGUGUAUGAGGUGUUAGUGUGUGUAUUAUGGGGGUGGUGUAUGAGGUGUUAGUGUGUGUGUGUAUUAUGGUGGUGGUGUAUGAGGUGUUAGUGUGUGUGUAUUAUGGGGUGGUGUAUGAGGUGUUAGUGUGUGUAUUAUGGGGGUGGUGUAUGAGGUGUUAGUGUGUGUGUAUUAUGGUGGUGGUGUAUGAGGUGUUAGUGUGUGUGUGUAUUAUGGUGGUGGUGUAUGAGGUGUUAGUGUGUGUAUUAUGGGGGUGGUGUAUGAGGUGUUAGUGUGUGUGUGUAUUAUGGUGGUGGUGUAUGAGGUGUUAGUGUGUGUGUAUUAUGGGGUGGUGUAUGAGGUGUUAGUGUGUGUAUUAUGGGGGUGGUGUAUGAGGUGUUAGUGUGUGUGUGUAUUAUGGUGGUGGUGUAUGAGGUGUUAGUGUGUGUAUUAUUGUGGUGGUGUAUGAGGUGUUAGUGUGUGUGUAUUAUGGGGGUGGUGUAUGAGGUGUUAGUGUGUGUGUAUUAUGGGGUGGUGUAUGAGGUGUUAGUGUGUGUGUGUAUUAUGGUGGUGGUGUAUGAGGUGUUAGUGUGUGUGUGUGUAUUAUGGUGGUGGUGUAUGAGGUGUUAGUGUGUGUGUGUAUUAUGGUGGUGGUGUAUGAGGUGUUAGUGUGUGUAUGAUGGGGUGGUGUAUGAGGUGUUAGUGUGUGUGUAUUAUGGUGGUGGUGUAUGAGGUGUUAGUGUGUGUGUGUAUGAUGGUGGUGGUG